GCCUAAAAUCAAGCCUAACAAAAACAUAUGAAAACCACACCUCAACCCUUUUUAACAAAACAUUUUACCAGUUUAGUAGAGGCGAUCAAAAUAUUAAUUAGCGCUUUACCAUAAGUACCGCAAGGGAAACAUGAAAUAGCUCUGAAAUAGCCCUAAAGCACAACACAGCAGAGAAUCCCCUCGUACCUUUUGCAUCAUGGUUUAGCUAGUUUCCUCAAGCAAAGCGAUGCAUCAGUUUGACCCCCCGAAACUAAGCGAGCUACCUCAAAACAGUUUAUUGAACUAACCCGUCUCUGUCGCAAAAGAGUGGGACGAUUUUCAGGUAGAGGUGAAAAGCCUACCGAGCUUAGAGAUAGCUGGUUAUUCAGGAAAAGAAUUUUAGUUCAACCCCAAGCCCUCCAUUUAUAUUCAAUAAACCCACCCGGCUUAGGAGCUAUUCAAAUAAGGCACAGCUUAUUUGAUACAGGAGACAACCUACAAAAAAGGGUAAACCCCCUCUAAAACUAAAUAAGUGGGCCUGAAAGCAGCCACCUUUAAGAAAGCGUUAUAGCUCUAUUUGCCACAAAGAUUAAUUCCUACCCACACAUUAAACCCUUUAAUCCUACUGAAUGAUCCUAUAAAAUAUAGGAACCCCAAUGCUAAAACUAGUAACAAGAAGUUGAACUUCUCCAAAAUACAAGCAUAAGUCAAAACGGACAAACCAUUGAUAAUUAACACCCCCUGACUUUGAUAUAGUAACAAAACAAGAAAACCCUACAAGCACCUAAUGUUAACCUUACACAAGUGUAUUUCUGGAAAGAUUAAAAAAAAAGGGAAGGAACUCGGCAAAUAGUAACCCCGCCUGUUUACCAAAAACACCGCCUCUUGAUUCUUAUAAGAGGUCCAGCCUGCCCAGUGACAUAAUUAAACGGCCGCGGUACCCUGACCGUGCGAAGGUAGCAUAAUCACUUGUUCUCUAAAUAAGGACUUGUAUCAACGGCAUCACGAGGGUUAUACUGUCUCCCCUUUUUAAUCAGUGAAACUGACUUUCCCGUGAAGAGGCGGGGAUAAAAAUACAAGACGAGAAGACCCCAUGGAGCUUUAAACCCAAUAAUAACUUCUACUCUAAUUACUACUUAAUCAAGAAGGCCUAUCUAUUGGUUUUAGGUUGGGGUGACCCUGGAGUAAAACAAAACCUCCAUGACGAAUAGACCCUAUUCUAAUCUAAGAGCAACUGCUCUACGAAUCAAAAUUUUGACGUAAACUGAUCCGCUUAGCGAUCAACGAACCAAGUUACCCUGGGGAUAACAGCGCAAUCCAUUUCAAGAGCUCCUAUCGACAAAUGGGUUUACGACCUCGAUGUUGGAUCAGGGUAUCCCAGUGGUGCA
rnacentral:rRNA from 1 species